AUUGAACGCUGGCGGCAUGCCUAACACAUGCAAGUCGAGCGGAGCGGCGGACGGGUGAGUAAUGCCUAGGAAUCUGCCUGGUAGUGGGGGAUAACGUCCGGAAACGGGCGCUAAUACGGCAUACUAUCAGAUGAGCCUAGGUCUGAUUAGCUAGUUGGUGGGGUAAAGGCCUACCAAGUCGACGAUCCGUACCUGGUCUGAGAGGAUGAUCAGUCACACUGGAACUGAGACACGGUCCAGACUCCUACGGGAGGCAGCAGUGGGGAAUAUUGGACAAUGGGCGAAAGCCUGAUCCAGCCAUCCCGCGUGUGUGAAGAAGGUCUUCGGGUUGUAAAGCACUUUAAGUUGGGAGGCGGUACCAGCAGAAUAAGCACCGGCUAACUACGUGCCAGCAGCCGCGGUAAUUC
rnacentral:rRNA from 1 species